rnacentral:snRNA from 1 species
AAACAUACCUGUGAAACAUACAUACCUAGUGACCUCCAUUGCACUUUAGAGGGGUGCCUGCCUAAGGUCGGCCCAAGUGGCCGAGCCUAUGUCAUAAUUUAUGGCAGUGGGGGCCUGCGUUCGCGCGGCCCCCUA